rnacentral:rRNA from 1 species
AUACGGAGGGUGCAAGCGUUAAUCGGAAUUACUGGGCGUAAAGCGCUCGUAGGCGGCUUGUUAAGUCGGAUGUGAAAGCCCCGGGCUCAACCUGGGAACUGCAUUCGAUACUGGCAGGCUAGAGUAUAGUAGAGGCAAGUGGAAUUCCGGGUGUAGCGGUGAAAUGCGUAGAUAUCCGGAAGAACAUCAGUGGCGAAGGCGACUUGCUGGACUAAUACUGACGCUGAGGAGCGAAAGCGUGGGGAGCAAACGGGAGUAGAAACCCCGGUAGUCC